rnacentral:rRNA from 1 species
UGGCUCAGGACGAACGCUGGCGGCGUGCCUAAUACAUGCAAGUCGAGCGCAGGAAAUCGACGGAACCCUUCGGGGGGAAGUCGAUGGAAUGAGCGGCGGACGGGUGAGUAACACGUAAAGAACCUGCCCUCAGGUCUGGGAUAACCACGAGAAAUCGGGGCUAAUACCGGAUGGGUCAUCGGACCGCAUGGUCCGAGGAUGAAAGGCGCUUCGGCGUCGCCUGGGGAUGGCUUUGCGGUGCAUUAGCUAGUUGGUGGGGUAAUGGCCCACCAAGGCGACGAUGCAUAGCCGACCUGAGAGGGUGAUCGGCCACACUGGGACUGAGACACGGCCCAGACUCCUACGGGAGGCAGCAGUAGGGAAUCUUCCACAAUGGACGAAAGUCUGAUGGAGCAACGCCGCGUGAACGAUGAAGGCCUUCGGGUCGUAAAGUUCUGUUGUAAGGGAAGAACAAGUGCCGCAGGCAAUGGCGGCACCUUGACGGUACCUUGCGAGAAAGCCACGGCUAACUACGUGCCAGCAGCCGCGGUAAUACGUAGGUGGCAAGCGUUGUCCGGAAUUAUUGGGCGUAAAGCGCGCGCAGGCGGCCUCUUAAGUCUGAUGUGAAAGCCCCCGGCUCAACCGGGGAGGGCCAUUGGAAACUGGGAGGCUUGAGUAUAGGAGAGAAGAGUGGAAUUCCACGUGUAGCGGUGAAAU